rnacentral:rRNA from 1 species
AUUGAACGCUGGCGGCAGGCCUAACACAUGCAAGUCGAGCGGAUGAAGGGAGCUUGCCCCUGGAUUCAGCGGCGGACGGGUGAGUAAUGCCUAGGAAUCUGCCUGGUAGUGGGGGAUAACGUCCGGAAACGGGCGCUAAUACCGCAUACGUCCUGAGGGAGAAAGUGGGGGAUCUUCGGACCUCACGCUAUCAGAUGAGCCUAGGUCGGAUUAGCUAGUUGGUGGGGUAAAGGCCUACCAAGGCGACGAUCCGUAACUGGUCUGAGAGGAUGAUCAGUCACACUGGAACUGAGACACGGUCCAGACUCCUACGGGAGGCAGCAGUGGGGAAUAUUGGACAAUGGGCGAAAGCCUGAUCCAGCCAUGCCGCGUGUGUGAAGAAGGUCUUCGGAUUGUAAAGCACUUUAAGUUGGGAGGAAGGGCAGUAAGUUAAUACCUUGCUGUUUGACGUUACCAACAGAAUAAGCACCGGCUAACUUCGUG